GCAGCAGCAGCCCGCCAGCUCGUACGCGGCGCCGCCCCAGGCCAGCCUCUCGGGGGGCUCCUACCCGGCCAGCAACAGCUUCAGCAGGCGGAGCGUGCAAGGCUGACAGGAAACCGGAAGCUCUGAGACGAAAUCAACAAAAAUGAAGAACUCUAGUCACACAGCAGCGCGAUCAAGAGACCCAAACUCAACCCAGGGUUUGGCGGCCGAGGCUCUACGUCACCAACCAACCCUUCUUCUGCCAAACAACAACAACACACGACAGUGUGCUUUCCUGAUCAAUAAAUCCCAAUGCAGCCGA